rnacentral:rRNA from 1 species
GACGAACGCUGGCGGCGUGCUUAACACAUGCAAGUCGAACGGAAAGGCCCUGCUUUUGUGGGGUGCUCGAGUGGCGAACGGGUGAGUAACACGUGAGUAACCUGCCCUUGACUUUGGGAUAACUUCAGGAAACUGGGGCUAAUACCGGAUAGGAGCUCCUGCUGCAUGGUGGGGGUUGGAAAGUUUCGGCGGUUGGGGAUGGACUCGCGGCUUAUCAGCUUGUUGGUGGGGUAGUGGCUUACCAAGGCUUUGACGGGUAGCCGGCCUGAGAGGGUGACCGGCCACAUUGGGACUGAGAUACGGCCCAGACUCCUACGGGAGGCAGCAGUGGGGAAUAUUGCACAAUGGGCGGAAGCCUGAUGCAGCAACGCCGCGUGCGGGAUGACGGCCUUCGGGUUGUAAACCGCUUUCGCCUGUGACGAAGCGUGAGUGACGGUAAUGGGUAAAGAAGCACCGGCUAACUACGUGCCAGCAGCCGCGGUGAUACGUAGGGUGCGAGCGUUGUCCGGAUUUAUUGGGCGUAAAGGGCUCGUAGGUGGUUGAUCGCGUCGGAAGUGUAAUCUUGGGGCUUAACCCUGAGCGUGCUUUCGAUACGGGUUGACUUGAGGAAGGUAGAGGAGAAUGGAAUUCCUGGUGGAGCGGUGGAAUGCGCAGAUAUCAGGAGGAACACCAGUGGCGAAGGCGGUUCUCUGGGCCUUUCCUGACGCUGAGGAGCGAAAGCGUGGGGAGCGAACAGGCUUAGAUACCCUGGUAGUCCACGCUGUAAACGGUGGGUACUAGGUGUGGGGUCCAUUCCACGGGUUCCGUGCCGUAGCUAACGCUUUAAGUACCCCGCCUGGGGAGUACGGCCGCAGGGCUAAAACUCAAAGGAAUUGACGGGGCCCCGCACAAGCGGCGGAGCAUGCGGAUUAAUUCGAUGCAACGCGUAGAACCUUACCUGGGUUUGACAUGGAUCGGGAGUGCUCAGAGAUGGGUGUGCCUCUUUUGGGGUCGGUUCACAGGUGGUGCAUGGCUGUCGUCAGCUCGUGUCGUGAGAUGUUGGGUUAAGUCCCGCAACGAGCGCAACCCUUGUUCACUGUUGCCAGCACGUUAUGGUGGGGACUCAGUGGAGACCGCCGGGGUCAACUCGGAGGAAGGUGGGGAUGACGUCAAGUCAUCAUGCCCCUUAUGUCCAGGGCUUCACGCAUGCUACAAUGGCUGGUACAGAGAGUGGCGAGCCUGUGAGGGUGAGCGAAUCUCGGAAAGCCGGUCUCAGUUCGGAUUGGGGUCUGCAACUCGACCUCAUGAAGUCGGAGUCGCUAGUAAUCGCAGAUCAGCAACGCUGCGGUGAAUACGUUCCCGGGGCU